GAGUUUGAUCGUGGCUCAGAUUGAACGCUGGCGGCAUGCCUUACACAUGCAAGUCGAACGGCAGCACGGGAGCUUGCUCCUGGUGGCGAGUGGCGAACGGGUGAGUAAUGCAUCGGAACGUAUCCUGGAGUGGGGGAUAACGUAGCGAAAGUUACGCUAAUACCGCAUAUUCUGUGAGCAGGAAAGCGGGGGACCUUCGGGCCUCGCGCUCUUGGAGCGGCCGAUGUCGGAUUAGCUAGUUGGUGAGGUAAAGGCUCACCAAGGCGACGAUCCGUAGCAGGUCUGAGAGGAUGAUCUGCCACACUGGAACUGAGACACGGUCCAGACUCCUACGGGAGGCAGCAGUGGGGAAUUUUGGACAAUGGGGGCAACCCUGAUCCAGCCAUGCCGCGUGAGUGAAGAAGGCCUGG
rnacentral:rRNA from 14 species